rnacentral:rRNA from 1 species
GUGGGGAAUUUUGCGCAAUGGGGGAAACCCUGACGCAGCAACGCCGCGUGAGUGAUGAAGGCUUUCGGGUCGUAAAGCUCUGUCAGAGGGGAAGAAAUGUAUAGGUGCUAAUACCGCUUAUACUUGACGGUACCCUCAAAGGAAGCACCGGCUAACUCCGUGCCAGCAGCCGCGGUAAUACGGAGGGUGCGAGCGUUGUUCGGAAUUAUUGGGCGUAAAGCGCGUGUAGGCGGUCUUUUAAGUCUGAUGUGAAAGCCCUGGGCUCAACCCAGGAAGUGCAUUGGAAACUGGGAGACUUGAAUACGGGAGAGGGUAGUGGAAUUCCUAGUGUAGGAGUGAAAUCCGUAGAUAUUAGGAGGAACACCGGUGGCGAAGGCGGCUACCUGGACCGAUAUUGACGCUGAGACGCGAAAGCGUGGGUAGCAAACAGGAUUAGAUACCCCAGUAGUCC